UACGUAGGGUGCGAGCGUUAAUCGGAAUUACUGGGCGUAAAGCGUGCGCAGGCGGUUUUGUAAGCCAGAUGUGAAAGCCCCGGGCUUAACCUGGGAAUGGCAUUUGGGACUGCAAGGCUUGAGUGCGGCAGAGGAGACUGGAAUUCCUGGUGUAGCAGUGAAAUGCGUAGAUAUCGAGAGGAACACCUGCGGCGAAGGCGGGUUGCUGGGCUGAUACUGACGCUGAGGCGCGAAAGCCAGGGGAGCGAACGGG
rnacentral:rRNA from 1 species